GAUGAACGCUGGCGGCGUGCCUAAUACAUGCAAGUCGAGCGAACAGACGAGGAGCUUGCUCCUCUGACGUUAGCGGCGGAAGGGUGAGUAACACGUGGAUAACCUACCUAUAAGACUGGGAUAACUUCGGGAAACCGGAGCUAAUACCGGAUAAUAUAUUGAACCGCAUGGUUCAAUAGUGAAAGACGGUUUUGCUGUCACUUAUAGAUGGAUCCGCGCCGCAUUAGCUAGUUGGUAAGGUAACGGCUUGCCAAGGGAACGAUGCGUAGCCGACCUGAGAGGGGGCUCGGCCACCCGGGAACUGGGAAACGGUCCAGACUCCUACGGGAGGCAGCAGUAGGGAAUCUUCCGCAGUGGGCGCAAGCCCGACGGAGCACCGCCGCGUGCGUGAUGAAGGUCUUCGGCUCGUAAAACUCUGUUAGUAGGGAAGAACAAAUGUGUACGUAACUAUGCCCGUCUUGACGGUACCUAAUCAGAAAGCCACGGCUAACUACGUG
rnacentral:rRNA from 1 species